GACAGAGGGUGCAAACGUUGCUCGGAAUUACUGGGCGUAAAGCGCGUGUAGGCUGACCGGAAAGUCGGGCGUGAAAGCCCUGGGCUCAACCCAGGAACUGCACUCGAAACUCCCGGUCUAGAGUGGUGGAGAGGGAAGUGGAAUUCCUGGUGUAGAGGUGAAAUUCGUAGAUAUCAGGAGGAACACCGGUGGCGAAGGCGGCAUCCUGGACCGGUAUUGACGCUGAUGCGCGAAAGCCAGGGGAGCAAACGGG
rnacentral:rRNA from 1 species